rnacentral:lncRNA from 13 species
GGAGACUGAGGCAGGAGAAUCGCUUGAACCCGGGAGGCAGAGAUUGCAGUGAGUAGAGAUCGAGCCAUUGCACUCCAGUCUGGCAACAGAGCGAGACUCCAUCUAAAAAAAUUUUAAAAACAUCAAUGUCUGUCAGCAUGGAUUGACAAGCACCCUGGACUUUGGAUGACUUCCCUACAGCCCCAGCUGGGCCUGGCUGGCUGUCUCCCUUCUUCACUUGGCCACAGCAUAACCUGCAGUCAAGCCACAAGAGUGACCUCAAGGCCUCAGACCACUUUUCCAGCCUCAGCUUUUCUUAUGGGUCCAGCCCACUUACAGCAGAAAGUUGCCAACGUUUGGGCUGGUAAUAUUCGACAAUAAAAAGAACUGGAGUCCUGAUACCUGCACACCGCGAACAACCUUGAAAACAUUCCGCUAAGUGAAAGAAGCCAGUCAUGAAAGAGCAUAGAUUGUAAGAUUCCACUUUAUGAAGUGUCCAGAAUAGGCCAAUCCAGAGACAGAGAGUAGACGGGUGGCUGUCUAGGACUGAGG